rnacentral:ncRNA from 1 species
UACAAAAAAGAAGCGCCAGAACUCAAGUGACGGUCCACACAGAAAUUGAGUUGACGAGGACAGGGAGUAUCGAAAAUUCGGCGGAUGCCCUGAAGGUAUGAUGGAUAAAUCUGAGAAGUGAUUUUCAGCACAAAGACAUCCUACAAAUAUUUU